CAAAAUAUAGCUUAAAUAAAGCAUCUGACUUACACUCAGAAGAUUUCAACACAUAUGAAUAUUUUGA
rnacentral:tRNA from 1 species